UUUGCACCUGUGUCUCGUUGUCUCCCUUACCUUAGUGUAUUUAGUCCCGGGUUUUUCCUUUGUUCAUUGUCAUGUCAUUGUUCCUGUCAUGUGCAUGUUUCGUUGUAUUAUCGUGCCGAUGUCAAGCGGCUGGGCAAUUGUUUCUGGUGACUGGUCUUCUGGGCCAGUGAACUAGACAGACAAGACGCAUCACUGUCACCUUACGGCUGGUCUGACAGGCAGGCAGGGCGGCCAUGACAGGCGAAUAAAACACCACCAUUAUUAAAAUGGACCAAGGAAUGCAAAGUAUAAUGCUAGUAGCUGCAAGGUUGGACUUCUACUUCACUAGAGGAUUUGACUGAGUCAACAUGCAGAGCUCUCCAACAACACAACAGCACAUCUCAGGGACAGAUGUGGUUGCUCAGGCUCUAAAUAUUCAUUUAUUGGGUGCCCACAGUUCAUCUCCAUUCACAAGCUACUUAAGUGCCUCAAUCACACACAGGCACCUAUGCACUAGGUAUUUCUUUGUUACCACAAUAUAUGAUUUUUUCCCCUAUACUAUAAACAAUACCACCGCAGGCAUUCCAGCCACUGUGCUCAAAGUGACUUAGGUGAUUAUUUAAAACAUAAAGGUCAUGAUUCCAGGUGGAAUUAAAAUGUUAUAUUGCACUGGCAGCAUGUUCAAAGCCUCCCAUAGACCGUAUUUAUUAGAAUUCAUCCAUUCUUCAAUAAAAUAUUGUAUAGUCAAACAGCAUAUAUCUGUCAUAAAUG